GUGCCAGCAGCCGCGGUAAUACGAAGGGGGCUAGCGUUGCUCGGAAUUACUGGGCGUAAAGCGCACGUAGGCGGCGACGACAGUCAGGUGUGAAAGGCCUGGGCUCAACCCAGGAACUGCAUUUGAUACUGCGUUGCUAGAGUCCAAGAGAGGGUAGUGGAAUUCCCAGUGUAGAGGUGAAAUUCGUAGAUAUUGGGAAGAACACCAGUGGCGAAGGCGGCUACCUGGCUUGGUACUGACGCUCAGGUGCGAAAGCGUGGGGAGCGAACAGGAUUAGAUACCCUGGUAGUCC
rnacentral:rRNA from 1 species